GAUCAUGGCUCAGGAUGAACGCUAGCUACAGGCUUAACACAUGCAAGUCGAGGGGCAUCAGGGUGUAGCAAUACACCGCUGGCGACCGGCGCACGGGUGAGUAACACGUAUCCAACCUGCCCUUUACUCGGGGAUAGCCUUUCGAAAGAAAGAUUAAUACCCGAUGGUAUAACAUGACCUCCUGGUUUUGUUAUUAAAGAAUUUCGGUAGAGGAUGGGGAUGCGUUCCAUUAGGCAGUUGGCGGGGUAACGGCCCG
rnacentral:rRNA from 1 species